rnacentral:rRNA from 1 species
GUGCCAGCAGCCGCGGUAAUACAGAGGGUGCAAACGUUGCUCGGAAUUAUUGGGCGUAAAGCGCGUGUAGGCGGUCUGUUAAGUCGGUUGUGAAAGCCCACGGCUCAACCGUGGAAGUGCGUCCGAAACUGGCAGACUAGAGUCCUGAAGAGGAUGGCGGAAUUCCCAGUGUAGAGGUGAAAUUCGUAGAUAUUGGGAGGAACAUCGGCGGCGAAGGCGGCCAUCUGGGAAGGUACUGACGCUGAGACGCGAAAGCGUGGGGAGCAAACAGGAUUAGAUACCCUGGUAGUCCACGCCGUAAACGAUGAGCACUAGGUGUUGCGGGUAUUGACCCCUGCAGUGCCGACGCUAACGCAUUAAGUGCUCCGCCUGGGGAGUACGGCCGCAAGGCUAAA